GUCUACGGCCAUACCACCCUGAACGCGCCCGAUCUCGUCUGAUCUCGGAAGCUAAGCAGGGUCGGGCCUGGUUAGUACUUGGAUGGGAGAGAGAUGAAUGGUGCCACUUGUAGAGA
ensembl:rRNA 5S_rRNA 5S ribosomal RNA